UGCGCACGCGCGCACACGUGCGUGCUCAGGUGAACUCAUCGCCGCCGUCCUUUGUGUUCGCGUGCACGGGUUCACGCGACGUGCGUGCUGAGCGCGCGCGUGCGCGCGGCGGAUCGAUGAGGAUGGAUUUAAAACCUGAAGUAAAAACUGGAUUUAACACCACAGAAGAAGAAGAAAUGGUGGGCUGAUCGGUGUAUACGAGGUUCCAGAACCCACAGAAAGACCGGCCCACAGCAUGGUAGAUGCCAGCACAGCUUACAGAAUGAACCCACUUGCAGCCCUCAGCAUCGAUCAAAACU